rnacentral:lncRNA from 1 species
AAUGUGUCAUUGCAUGGUUGUGUUUUUUUUUAAUUAUUGAGGUACAAUUAACAUGUAAUGCAAGGUAGCUUUUAAACUGUUGAUAAUAUAUGUACCACAUAGAUGACAUUGACUGAAAACUGUGUUAGUUAGAGAUCUGGCAGAUCACACGCCCUUCCCCUGGUGGCCUUGGGGAUGUGAGGCUUAUUUUGACUAGAUUGGGACCACAUGACCAUUUGGAGAGCCAGGCAUAAAGUA